UACGUAGGGUUCGAGCGUUGUCCGGAAUUAUUGGGCGUAAAGAGCUUGUAGGCGGUCUGUCGCGUCUGCUGUGAAAAUCCGGGGCUCAACCCCGGACUUGCAGUGGGUACGGGCAGACUAGAGUGUGGUAGGGGAGACUGGAAUUCCUGGUGUAGCGGUGAAAUGCGCAGAUAUCAGGAGGAACACCGAUGGCGAAGGCAGGUCUCUGGGCCACUACUGACGCUGAGAAGCGAAAGCAUGGGGAGCGAACAGG
rnacentral:rRNA from 1 species